UGGGGAAUAUUGGACAAUGGGCGAAAGCCUGAUCCAGCCAUGCCGCGUGUGUGAAGAAGGUCUUCGGAUUGUAAAGCACUUUAAGUUGGGAGGAAUGGCAUUAACCUAAUACGUUAGUGUUUUGACGUUACCGACAGAAUAAGCACCGGCUAACUCUGUGCCAGCAGCCGCGGUAAUACAGAGGGUGCAAGCGUUAAUCGGAAUUACUGGGCGUAAAGCGCGCGUAGGUGGUUUGUUAAGUUGGAUGUGAAAUCCCCGGGCUCAACCUGGGAACUGCAUUCAAAACUGACUGACUAGAGUAUGGUAGAGGGUGGUGGAAUUUCCUGUGUAGCGGUGAAAUGCGUAGAUAUAGGAAGGAACACCAGUGGCGAAGGCGACCUCCUGGACUAAUACUGACACUGAGGUGCGAAAGCGUGGGGAGCAAACA
rnacentral:rRNA from 1 species